AUCCUGGCUCAGGACGAACGCUGGCGGCGUGCCUAAUACAUGCAAGUCGAGCGGACAGAAGGGAGCUUGCUCCCGGAUGUUAGCGGCGGACGGGUGAGUAACACGUGGGUAACCUGCCUGUAAGACUGGGAUAACUCCGGGAAACCGGAGCUAAUACCGGAUAGUUCCUUGAACCGCAUGGUUCAAGGAUGAAAGACGGUUUCGGCUGUCACUUACAGAUGGACCCGCGGCGCAUUAGCUAGUUGGUGGGGUAAUGGCUCACCAAGGCGACGAUGCGUAGCCGACCUGAGAGGGUGAUCGGCCACACUGGGACUGAGACACGGCCCAGACUCCUACGGGAGGCAGCAGUAGGGAAUCUUCCGCAAUGGACGAAAGUCUGACGGAGCAACGCCGCGUGAGUGAUGAAGGUUUUCGGAUCGUAAAGCUCUGUUGUUAGGGAAGAACAAGUGCGAGAGUAACUGCUCGCACCUUGACGGUACCUAACCAGAAAGCCACGGCUAACUACGUGCCAGCAGCCGCGGUAAUACGUAGGUGGCAAGCGUUGUCCGGAAUUAUUGGGCGUAAAGGGCUCGCAGGCGGUUUCUUAAGUCUGAUGUGAAAGCCCCCGGCUCAACCGGGGAGGGUCAUUGGAAACUGGGAAACUUGAGUGCAGAAGAGGAGAGUGGAAUUCCACGUGUAGCGGUGAAAUGCGUAGAGAUGUGGAGGAACACCAGUGGCGAAGGCGACUUUUUGGUCUGUAACUGACGCUGAGGAGCGAAAGCGUGGGGAGCGAACAGGAUUAGAUACCCUGGUAGUCCACGCCGUAAACGAUGAGUGCUAAGUGUUAGGGGGUUUCCGCCCUUUAGUGCUGCAGCUAACGCAUUAAGCACUCCGCCUGGGGAGUACGGUCGCAAGACUGAAACUCAAAGGAAUUGACGGGGGCCCGCACAAGCGGUGGAGCAUGUGGUUUAAUUCGAAGCAACGCGAAGAACCUUACCAGGUCUUGACAUCCUCUGACAACCCUAGAGAUAGGGCUUUCCCUUCGGGGACAGAGUGACAGGUGGUGCAUGGUUGUCGUCAGCUCGUGUCGUGAGAUGUUGGGUUAAGUCCCGCAACGAGCGCAACCCUUGAUCUUAGUUGCCAGCAUUCAGUUGGGCACUCUAAGGUGACUGCCGGUGACAAACCGGAGGAAGGUGGGGAUGACGUCAAAUCAUCAUGCCCCUUAUGACCUGGGCUACACACGUGCUACAAUGGACAGAACAAAGGGCUGCAAGACCGCAAGGUUUAGCCAAUCCCAUAAAUCUGUUCUCAGUUCGGAUCGCAGUCUGCAACUCGACUGCGUGAAGCUGGAAUCGCUAGUAAUCGCGGAUCAGCAUGCCGCGGUGAAUACGUUCCCGGGCCUUGUACACACCGCCCGUCACACCACGAGAGUUUGCAACACCCGAAGUCGGUGAGGUAACCUUUAUGGAGCCAGCCGCCGAAGGUGGGGCAGAUGAUUGGGGUGAAGUCGUA
rnacentral:rRNA from 1 species